GUGGGGAAUCUUGCGCAAUGGGGGAAACCCUGACGCAGCGACGCCGCGUGGAGGAUGAAGGUCUUCGGGUUGUAAACUCCUUUUCUCAGGGAAAAUAGUGAUGGUACCUGAGGAAUAAGCCACGGCUAACUCUGUGCCAGCAGCCGCGGUAAGACAGAGGUGGCGAGCGUUGUUCGGAAUUACUGGGCUUAAAGGGCGAGUAGGCGGUGAGGUAAGUCUGGGGUGGAAUCCUAUAGCUUAACUAUAGAAUUGCCUCAGAAACUACUUCACUUGAGUCAGUGAGGGGAGGGCAGAAUUCCUGGUGUAGCGGUGAAAUGCGUAGAUAUCAGGAGGAAGGCCUGUGGCGAAGGUGGCCCUCUGGCACUGCACUGACGCUGAGGCGCGAAAGCGUGGGGAGCAAACAGGAUUAGAAACCCGGGUAGUCC
rnacentral:rRNA from 1 species